AGAUGUAGAAUGAUCCUAUUGACGCUGCAGCUGGCCUUCUUCUAGAUCUUCAACAGAAUCCUCCACUGCCUCGUCUAUAAGGGUGGUAGCUCUAUUGGGAUAAAAUUAUCCCUUAGUGUAGCCAAAUCCACCUGGAGGUUGAGCUCAGCCAUCAUUUUCAAGACUUCAUCAUAUGCGACCUUCCUUUAGUAUAACCAAGGCAAUCAUACUUGGCCGUUUCAUGUAAAUACUCCAAAUACUUUGUAGUAAACCUCUCCGGCCUUUUCUAAUUGUUGCUUCAAACUAGCAAUCUCAGCAAUCAGGUCACCAACUUGGGACUUUAGCUCUAAUUUCUCUUUAUUUGCUGCUUCUAAUGUUGACAAAGCUAUCUUCUAUAAGUUAUCAGAAUUUUCAAUUCGCCUCAUCAUAGCAUUUACUUCAGCUUUGCAGAAGUGGACGUUCUUCUUCAAAUCUGCAUUUCAAUUGUAAGGAGUCCCAACCUCAAGUUUACUUCAACAUGCCUCACCUUGAAGACUUUAAUAACUUUGUCAGCAAUAGAGGUCUCAACCUUGAGCCUCUUCACCUCUGCCUUACAUCAACUAUUUUUUAAAAGAAUUAUUUAUUCAGCAUCUACAGUCUCCUAAUGUCCUUCGGCCAUUUAGAAAAAAACAUUGUGGGAAAGCCUGCAAGGCAUUCCUGCCUCUAGCAUAUCAACCGAAUCACAAGUCUUGGUAUACAAGGAACACUUAUCAAUCUAAUACUUGUAAUUGAACGAAUGCUAUAUAUGCUUUAGAAGGAUUUAAGGAUCAUGUUUCCAACGACUUAGUUCACAAGGAAGAAUCUGAAAUUUCGUUGUAAUGAUAGGUGCAAAUGCUAUAUAUGCUUUAGAAGGAUUUAAGAAUCAUGUUUCCAAUGACUUAGUUCACAAGGAAGAAUUUGAAGUUUCGUUGUAAUGAUAGGUGCGAUAGAGUUUCUUCGAACUAAAAUAUUGGUUUCUUACCAACUAUAGACUAUUU
rnacentral:lncRNA from 1 species